GUGGGGAAUAUUGGACAAUGGGCGCAAGCCUGAUCCAGCCACGCCGCGUGUGUGAUGAAGGCCUUCGGGUCGUAAAGCACUGUGGAGGGGGAAGAACAAGUUUCAAGCUAAUAUCUUGGGACCCUGACGGUACCCCUUUAGCAAGCACCGGCUAACUCCGUGCCAGCAGCCGCGGUAAUACGGAGGGUGCAAACGUUGCUCGGAAUCAUUGGGCGUAAAGCGCGUGUAGGCGGUUCGUUAAGUCGAAUGUGAAAGCCCUGGGCUCAACCCAGGAAGUGCAUUCGAUACUGGCGAACUAGAGUACAGGAGAGGAUAGUGGAAUUCCCGGUGUAGAGGUGAAAUUCGUAGAUAUCGGGAGGAACACCAGUGGCGAAGGCGGCUAUCUGGACUGAUACUGACGCUGAGACGCGAAAGCGUGGGGAGCAAACAGGAUUAGAUACCCCUGUAGUCC
rnacentral:rRNA from 1 species